rnacentral:tRNA from 1 species
GCAUCAGUAGUAUAGCGGUAGAAUACUCGCCUUCCAAGCGAGUGGCCCGGGUUCAACUCCCGGCUGAUGC